rnacentral:rRNA from 1 species
CCUUGAUGACGACUGGCGCACGGGUGAGUAACGCGUAUCCAACCUUCCCAUAACUACGGGAUAACCCGUUGAAAGACGGCCUAAUACCGUAUGAUAUCGUUUGCUGACAUCAAAUAACGAUUAAAGGUUUAGCGGUUAUGGAUGGGGAUGCGUCUGAUUAGCUUGUUGGCGGGGUAACGGCCCACCAAGGCAACGAUCGGUAGGGGUUCUGAGAGGAAGGUCCCCCCACAUUGGAACUGAGACACGGUCCAAACUCCUACGGGAGGCAGCAGC